AGAUUUGAAGAUAGGGGAAAGAGUGAACUUAAAAGUGAAAUUGAACUAACUUGGAAAC
rnacentral:sRNA from 1 species